GACGAACGCUGGCGGCGUGCUUAACACAUGCAAGUCCAACGGAAAGGCCCUGCUUUUGUGGGGUGCUCGAGUGGCGAACGGGUGAGUAACACGUGAGUAACCUGCCCUUGACUUUGGGAUAACUUCAGGAAACUGGGGCUAAUACCGGAUAGGAGCUCCUGCUGCAUGGUGGGGGUUGGAAAGUUUCGGCGGUUGGGGAGGGACUCGCGGCUUAUCAGCCUGUUGGUGGGGUAGUGGCUUACCAAGGCUUUGACGGGUAGCCGGCCUGAGAGGGUGACCGGCCACAGUGGGACUGAGAUACGGACCAGACUCCUACGGGAGGCAGCAGUGGAGAAUAUUGCACAAUGGGCGGAAACCUGAUGCAGCAACACCGCGUGCGGGAUGACGGCCUUCGGGUUGUAAACCGCUUUCGCCUGUGACGAGGCGUGAGUGACGGUAAUGGGUAAGGAAGCACCGGCUAACUACGUG
rnacentral:rRNA from 1 species